CAGGGGAGACUGGUGGAAGUCUGGGCUGGCUUCCUGGAGAGGAUGGCAUUCUCAGAAGAAGCCUGACAGUGUGGGGACAGGCCACACACAACCCGGCCACAUUGCACAGGAAGGAUGCCAAGCUGUGAUGACCAACAGGGAAGUAGUGUUCAUUUGUAGAAGUGGACCCGGGUGGGAGGUGGCCUGGGGGAGCCACACCUGUGAUCCCCUAAGGGUGUCAUUCCCAACCCCCUCUCCCCUGGAUAGUCUUUCCAACCCUCACAGAGCCCGUUCUUCUGGCCACAUCACAUUCCCGCUUCCCACACCAGACACCAAGUCUCCCCUGGGGACGGAGGCUGAUCUUCACCUUUCUGCUUCCUGCCCUGGAGUCUCCCCACAGCCCAGUGGUCUUUCUACCUCAAGAUGACUCCUCCUUCCCUUUCUUCCUCUCUCAACUCUGACCAUACCUGGCCCUUUCCUGAUAAACUUACCUAACUGACUUCGCAGGGACCGGAGCAGUUUUCACCUAUUAUCAGCAUUUCUCUGCUUCCUGGUCUGAGCCCGGUUCCUCCAGGAAACACCCUGGCUUCUAGUGUCCUCUCCCACCUCAGGCCAAGCCCUCCCCACACCCCUCACCCAUCACUUGGGUUUCACACAGAGGCCUGAUAGGGGAUGAAACCCCUUCCAGCCUCCCUAAGUCCCACACCAAGGCCCCAUUACUCAGGGAGAAGAGGAGUGGAAGGGCGCUCAGGAAGGUCCCCAGAAUCAAUCCCCACAGCCCCCAGCCCAGGUGUCCAGUUCUCACUUGAAGGUGGUGCCCGUGCCCCUUGGGGAAAGAACCCAGAGUAAAACACUGGAGAUGCCAACACUGAAGUUUGCACCAAGCUGAGGUACGGAGGUGCAAUAAAUAGGCCUUGCGUCUCAAAGGCGGCCAGAGCAGAUCACAUGCAACACAUUGAAGGCAAAUGGUUGAGAAGUGGCUCUCGAGCCCCUCACCCACCACAAGGAUCAGAGUUUGGAGAAGGAGGAAAGAGGGUGUGGGGAAAGGCUUUCAGAGUCCUGUGAGCCCCACCCACAAAGGGCCAGACUUCCCACAACAGGAUCAGUGACAAGAGCUUGGUACAUCCCCAGUGUUUGGGGAAGGUGCCCACCAGGGAAAUCUAGCAGCCGAUUGUGGCUGUCUGGAUGCCCCCACGGCAGGAGAGAAGGAAGGACAAGUGCCACAGUGGGACCUAAACUCCAAGAGCACCCAGGCCACGAUGCUCAUGGCUGGAGCUGGGUUUUCCAGCCCUCACACCCUAGAAUAACGGGAUUCCUGCAGAGCAGACCCGUGUGGAGAGCAUGGGCAGAAGCCCAAGGCCAGAGGAUGAGGCAGAGAAAGCUCAGGAGCUGCCAAAAUGGCCUAACAGGGACACCUGUGAGGGAUCUGUGAAUGUCCCCAGGAAGAAGAGAGAUCAGCUCUGGCAAUCUGACGCCCAGAGAACACCACAUUUCUGUGACAGCCUUGUCAAUCUAGAGGUUUCUGGCACUCUUCCCCCAUCUCUGCCCUACACUCUAAGUCAGGGCUGGUAACAGCAGCUAUUACAGGAGGAGUAGGGAAGAGGUCAGUCCUACCUUUCACACUCUACCUUUCCUAACCACCACUCCUGCACCAAGUAGGUAGCCUGCCCUUGCCAGCGAAGAGAAAAUUCCUAUCCUUGGAUAAAGACUGUAGCGUUGAUUACCACAGGAACUAAACAUGCUAUGCACCAAGUUAAUGUAGUACUUAUUACCUGAGUGUCUUGUCUGUCACCUGGGCUAGAUGCAGUGGCAUCAU